AUAAGAUGGGGACAAUGAUAA
rnacentral:siRNA from 1 species